AUUGAACGCUGGCGGCAGGCCUAACACAUGCAAGUCGAGCGGGGUUUUCGGACCUAGCGGCGGACGGGUGAGUAAUGCGUAGGAAGCUACCCGAUAGAUGGGCAUACCAGUUGGACAAGACUGUUAAUACCGCAUAAUGUCUACGGACCAAAGUGUUGGACCUUCGGUCCACGUUCUCUCGGAUGCGCCUACGUGGGCUUAGCUAGUUGGUGAGGUAAUGGCUCGCCAAGGCGAGGAUCCCUAGCUGGUUUGAGAGGAUGAUCAGCCACACUGGGACUGCGAGCCGGUCCAGACUACUACGGGAGGCAGCAGUGGGGAAUAUUGGACAAUGGGCGCAAGCCUGAUCCAGUCAUGGCGAGUGUGUGAAGAAGGGCUUCGGGUUGUAAAGAACUUUCAGUAGGGAGGAAGUGUUGUGUGUUAAUAGUACACAGCGUUGACGUUACCUACAGAAGAAGCACCGGCUAACUCUGUGCCAGCAGCCGCCGCCGUAA
rnacentral:rRNA from 1 species